rnacentral:lncRNA from 1 species
CUUGCCGCCUAGACAAGUUGCAGUUCUGUUGCUGUAGAGAGUUCUCACAACCAAGGCAAGUUAUAAAAAGAAGAACUUGAUUAGGGGCUUGCUUACAGUUUCAGAGGGCUAGUCCAUGAACAUCACGGCAGGGAGCAUGGCAACAAUCAGGCAAGUGUGGUGCUGGGGGAGAGGCUGACAGCUCACAUUUGAUCUGCAAGUUACAGGCAGAGAGACUGAGCUUUUUAAACCUCAAAGCCCACUCCCAGGGGCAAUCUCCUCCAACAAGGCCACACCUCCUAAUCCUUCCCAAACAGUUCUACUAACUGGGCACCAAGCAUUCAAAUACAUGAGUCUGUAGGAGCCAUUCUCAUUCAAGCACCACAGUGCUCUUACAGAGGGCCCUAGCUAGUACUGUUUCCAGCACCUACAUGGUAAGGUUGAAUCCAUCUGAAAUCCCAAUUCCAGGGUCUCCAAAGCUUUCUUCUGACUCUGUGGUUACCACUCCCACGAAGGCAAAACACUCAUAUACAUAAAAACGAUAACCUUUAAUAACAAAAAGCGGUAAGAACCGAGUGCAUCCAUGUAAGGAAGAAAGGUUUAUGUUGGCUUAUAGUUUGAGGCAGUACAAUCAAUUAUGAAAGAGAAGAUAAUGUCUCCAUAGUUGCAAGAGUGAGCAGCUAGAACUCCUCAGAUAUUUGUGGGACAGGGUC